rnacentral:rRNA from 1 species
UACGAAGGGGGCUAGCGUUGCUCGGAAUUACUGGGCGUAAAGCGCACGUAGGCGGAUUGUUAAGUCAGGGGUGAAAUGCCAAGGCUCAACCUUGGAACUGCCUUUGAUACUGGCAAUCUCGAGUCCGGGAGAGGUGAGUGGGACUGCGAGUGUAGAGGUGAAAUUCGUAGAUAUUCGCAAGAACACCAGUGGCGAAGGCGGCUCACUGGCCCGGUACUGACGCUGAGGUGCGAAAGCGUGGGGAGCAAACAGG